GACGAACGCUGGCGGCGUGCUUAACACAUGCAAGUCGAACGGUAAGGCCCUUUCGGGGGUACACGAGUGGCGAACGGGGGAGUAACACGUGGGUGAUCUGCCCUGCACUUUGGGAUAAGCCUGGGAAACUGGGUCUAAUACCGGAUAGGACUACGCGAUGCAUGUCGUGUGGUGGAAAGCUUUUGCGGUGUGGGAUGGGCCCGCGGCCUAUCAGCUUGUUGGUGGGGUGAUGGCCUACCAAGGCGACGACGGGUAGCCGGCCUGAGAGGGUGUCCGGCCACACUGGGACUGAGAUACGGCCCAGACUCCUACGGGAGGCAACAGUGGGGAAUAUUGCACAAUGGGCGCAAGCCUGAUGCAGCGACGCCGCGUGGGGGAUGACGGCCUUCGGGUUGUAAACCCCUUUCAGCACAGACGAAGCGUAAGUGACGGUAUGUGCAGAAGAAGCACCGGCCAACUACGU
rnacentral:rRNA from 1 species